rnacentral:rRNA from 1 species
AUUGAACGCUGGCGGCAGGCCUAACACAUGCAAGUCGAGCGGAUGAAGGGAGCUUGUUCCUGGAUUCCGCGGCGGACGGGUGAGUAAUGCCCAGGAAUCUGCCUGGCAGUGGGGGAUAAUGUCCGGAAACGGGCGCUAAUACCACAUACGUCCAGCUGGUGCAAGUGGGGGAUCUUUGGAAAUCACGCUCUCUGGUGAGCGUAGGUCGGGUUGGCUAGUUGGUGGGGUAAAGGCCUACUUAGCCGACGAUCCGCAACUGGUCUGAGAGGAUGGUCGGUCACACGGGAACGGAGACACGGUCCAGACUCCUACGGGAGGCAGCAGUGGGGAAUGUUGGACAAUGGGCGAAAGCCUGAUCCAGCCAUGCCGCGUGUGUUAAGAAGGUCUUCGGAUUGUAAAGCACGUUAAGUGGGGAUGAAGGGCAGUAAGUUAAGACCUUGCUGUAUUGACGUUACCAACUGAAUAAGCACCGGCUAACUUCGUG